CACGUAGGAGGCAAACGUUAUCCGGAUUUACUGGGCGUAAAGCGCGUGUAGGUGGUUCUGUAAGUAGGGCGUGAAAGCUCCUGGCUCAACUGGGAGAGGCCGUUCUAAACUGCAGAGCUAGAGGAUGGUAGAGGGAGGUGGAAUUCCGGGUGUAACGGUGGAAUGCGCAGAUAUCCGGAGGAACACCAGUGGCGAAAGCGGCCUCCUGGACCAUUCCUGACACUCAGACGCGAAAGCUAGGGUAGCAAACGGG
rnacentral:rRNA from 1 species